AAAUAAUUUUACGGGAGCUCGUAGGCGGGCUGAGAGGAAGAAAUUAUCUUCGACCGAUAACCUGAUUUGGAUAAUGCCAACGUAGGGAAAAAUGUUGCGUGAGCU
rnacentral:ncRNA from 1 species